GUCUUUUUGAAAAUAAUUUAAAGUCUAACCUGCUCAGUGAGGAUUUAAAUAGCCGCGGUAUUUUGACCGUGCAAAGGUAGCAUAAUCAAUAGUUUUUUAAUUGAAAACUGGAAUGAAGGGUUGAAUAAGAAAAUAACUGUCUCAAUUUAAUUUAAUUAGAAUUUUAUUUUUAAGUUAAAAAGCUUAAAUAAUUUUAAAAGACGAGAAGACCCUAUAGAGUUUAAUUAUUUAAUAAUAUUAUUAAUUUUAGAAUUUAUAAAAUAAUUUUAUUUAAUAAUUUAAUUGGGGUGAUUGAAAAAUUUAAUAAACUUUUUUUUUAUUUAAACAAAAAUUUUUGAAAUUUUGAUCCAUAAAAAUGAUUAUAAGAUUAAAUUACCUUAGGGAUAACAGCGUAAUUUUUUUUAAGAGUUCUAAUCGAAAAAAAAGAUUGCGACCUCGAUGUUGGAUUAAAAUUAAUUUUUGGUGUAGAAGCUAAAAAAUUAGGUCUGUUCGACCUUUGAAAUUUUACA
rnacentral:rRNA from 1 species